AAACAGCCGAGUUCGGCCCGGAGGAGCUCGAACGGCCCCGCCCCUCGCGCUGGAGGCGGAACUUCCCGAAGGCCUUCGGGCUCUUUCGGGCGAGGCGAAGGGGUUCCGCCAGGAGUAGGACGGCGAAGGCAUCUACUGAGGGUCUUGGAAUGAAUGCCCUGUGCAUAAGGGGAAUCUGCCGUAACCUGAAGGAGAUGAGGACCUCACUGAAGGUUUCUGAUCUCCCACGUCAGAACUGAAGAACCGAUCGGCAAGAUUCUGGUUGCUUUUAAUUUCUGUUUUGAGGACCAAAUGGAAACCACCACCUGGACCAAGAUCUAGCACAUUCCAGCACCCCAUGGUCCUUCUCAAUCCACUGCCAUCCGCCCACCAGUAAGAGGGACAAAAAUGGACCUAAAUUACUUCGAACCAAGCAACUGAAAAAGUCCCGGUAGAAUCCAGAAGCUCACGUGUUAGAUGCUCCAACAAUGGUGCCAGGUAUCUGUGUCGCUCCAUCUUCUCAGUUCUGCUCUCCGUGCUGACUUUGUUCCCAGAUUUGCCCUUCCCACAAGAUGGCCAGAGGACUGUCAGAGAUCUCAGCAUUAACCCUGCCAGUUAACCGACACCACCAGAAAGAGAACACCACCUUUGCAACAGUCCCAGCAAAAGUCCUGGUGCUCUUUGGACUGUUUUUGGGGCACAUCUUGAAUCAUUCUCUAUGGCAAAUGAGAAAAAAAUACAUGGAUGGGCCAGCUCUGGAUCGUAUGCCCAGCCCUGGAGCCAAGAGGAGGGGCCAGCAAAAAUGUGUCAACGAAAAGUGAGUGAUGAGCAUAAAAGGUGGGCCCAGAGAAAAGUCCUUCGUUCCUUCCUUUUCCUUUUGACUUCACCACAGUUUCCACCUAGCGUGUCGAGUGAGGCGGCCUGUACCUUCUGCUCGGCCCUCUAGGACCGCUCACUUAGUCACCCAAAUCAGAUUUAUACAUUCACCUCCGUGUCAUGAUAACACAGAAAGUGGUUCAGUGUCCUGGUUUGACAUCUGUACAAUUCUUCCCUGAUGACAAUCCUAAUGCAUUUGGUUUUUCUCCAAACGUAUGCGAACCAUAUUAUGCGCCUUUGAUCAAAAUUAUGCAAAGAACCAGAUGUUUACUUUUCAUUGCAUCUUAGAGACAACAGUUGGUAUUUGAAUGACCUACCUGGGGCUUCAUUGUCCUUCUCCUUUGAAUUCUAUGUUGGGGUGUGUUCACAUGCACAACGGUUGUUUUUUUUUUCUUCUCAGAUUCUUUUCUUAUUUUUUUUUUUUGACCAUCAGCAAAAAAUGUUUUAAUAGUUUGAUAUUUUAUGCAGAAUUACAUACAUAUGCUCAUAUUUUUAUUUUUUUAAAUUUAUUGGGGUGACAAUUGUUAGUAAAAUUACAUAGAUUUCAGGUGUACAAUUCUGUAUUACAUCAUCUAUAAAUCCCAUUGUAUGUUCACCACGCAGAGUCAGUUCUCCUUCCAUCACCAUAUAAGAUUAUUUUCUUAACAUCAUUUUUUCUGCUCUAACCUGACUCUCCCAACCUUUAUAAUCUAACUCACCCCCCCUCCAACCUGAGUUUGUACCCUCUCACUGUUUAUGUGAUUAUGAAUGUAAGCUUUCUAAUAAAAUAAUAAUAAUAGCUACUCCUCAUUUAGUGUUUGCUGCAGGCCUCCUUGGCAUGGAACUAAGUCUUUUGCAUUUAUUAUCUCAUCUUUACAUAGAGUUCUGUAUUUUCUUUUCAGUUUUUGGUCUGCGUAUUCAGUGUGGUCUGACUCUCCGUGCAGACUUCACGUUUUCUGAGCCCGUGGGGUAUGACUUCUUCGUGCAUUUGUCCUCUCCCGGCACCUUACACAUGGUGUUUGGUGUAGUGCCAGGGCUUGGUGUCUGUUG